rnacentral:lncRNA from 1 species
GUACUGGGGGGCUUUGGGGACAAGAAAAAAAAAGAGAUUGGCAACAGAUGUUAGCUUAGGGCCAAUCUUUUACAAAAAAGUUCUCCAGGUGAUUUUUAUUCACACCAAAGUUUAAGAACCACUUUCCUAAAGGAGUGUGGAACUGGGGAGAAAAAUCACACCAUAAAUUUUACCUCUUGCUCAACCUAUGGCACAUUUACCAGAUAGUAUUCAGCCUAGAUUAAACAUCAAGGUAAACUUGAAGGAGAGAGAAGUCACACAUGAGAAGGAGCAAACACCUGUGUGUGUGUGUCGGGCCUGUGAUUUGCUCUGACUAUCAAUGUUUACUGAACGGAGGGGAAGAAGCUCUGGGCUGAACAGGAUUCCAGAAAUGGCUGAGGCCUGGAGCCGGUUGCUUGAGGCCCCAUGGAGAGUGGUUCCCUGAGCAGACAUUCAAAAGACACAGGAUACUUGAUGUAACUCUGAGCAAGUAUAUCAGCAGCAAUCACUUUCCAGGAGUAACGAAAGCUGCCAUCUGAUGGUUACGCGCUGGGCCUCAAGCUAAGCUCUUUAUGUUCCCCACGUUGAAUCCUCACAGCGACUCUCUGAGAUGGGAUUAUACACAUCUUAGAAAUGAGGAAACUGUUUCACAGGGAAUAGCUCAGUCAUUGCCCCAGGUCACACAGCCAGGUGGUGGAGCACCUAGGAUUUGAACCCAAGAAUUCUGCCUUCCAAGUUCAUCGUAUCGUCUUUCCCUAUACUGUGAGGCAGCCUGAGUUUAGCUCCAAAACCAAAGCUUAUUACAACGAUGGAAAAGUGCUAGAGGGGUGGAGUAGACAAUGCAAUUUCCCCAUAGAAGUCAUGGAAUUUCUCUAACUACUUGGACGCCCUACAAGUGAGAUUGCAUAGUUCUGAAAGGAGGGGUCCCCUACUCUGCAGCCCUUGUCCACUGACGCGUCCUGUUAAUUAGAAGCCACACACAUGCCCGCGCGCGCGCACACAGCACCUAGCAUCUGAAACAGACUCAUGAAACACCAGCAGGUGGCUGACAGGAAGCCUAGGGUUUCAAAGGACAACACUCAGGUAGAUCGCAGUCAGCAGGGGAUGGCAGCCGGGAGGGCAAGGCUCCUCAAACCACAGAAGUUCCACAGCGCUGCUCACGCGUGUGGUCGGAGCCCUCUGCAAACACUGCACCUCAGCUACAGCAUCCCACCGCUGGAUGGAAGUCCUUCCCUUGUUUCGGUCGAGUUUGCCCUUCUGGUGCAGGCACCCCGUCUCCCGGCCUGAGAAUAAUGAAUUAGGCUGUGUGUGGUGUACCGGGAAGGGCAGUAAUUUUCCUGAGCAACAAGAACUGACGUUUUCCCAUGGCUAAUCAGAAAGGAACUAAGCACUAUAAUGUUAGUAAAUCCCUUCAGCUCCUGGGAUAAGAGC